UCUGCAACAAAAUGCCUAGAAAAUGUUGGG
rnacentral:piRNA from 1 species